ACAUUGGUUUUGGCAACUCUGAUGGAAAUACUGUAGCUGGCUUUGUAUUAAGUAGUAUUUAUCUAUGAAUUACAUGUGUAGCAAAGUGUUCAUUACUGCUGUGCAUUUGAAAAUAUUUCAGAAUAAAAUCUUAGCUAAGGAGGAUUAGAAGAGAUAUAUUAUUAAGUGAAAUAUAUAUUACCUGUCUUAUUUAAAUAUGAAAAUCUUUCUACUUAAUGUGUAUAAUGUUCUAUGAUUCGUGAAAGUGAAGUGACAGUUUUCAUUGUGUGCAGGAAAAAAGUGAAUUAGUGAAUAUAAAACGUUUCUGCUAGCAAUUUUAUUUAGUUGCAAUAAAAGCAAUUGAAUGCCACCGUGGACUCUGUGAAAGUUGAAAAUGGCUAAUGCCGCAACAGCAACUCCUUUGGAAAUUGACGAAUUUAUAAAUGGAGCUUUAGUAACAUGGUUGGAAUCAUGUUUGCCCCGUCCAGAAGUAUUAACUGGUUAUUCCUCCUUGUUGGAUGGCAAUAUUAUACAUAGUGUGUGGUUGCAAAUAGACCCAGAACCUCAAAACCACCCAACAGAUGUACGUGAUCUAAUCGGGAUAUCGCUAUGUAUAGCGCGAUCGAAAAACUUCGAAUGCAUCGCACGCAACUUGAAAUCACUUUUUGAAGAAGAAUUAGAACAUACAAUUCUAGUUCUUCCCGACGUCUAUAUUCUAGGAUACCAUCCUGAAUCUAAACAAGGUUUGGAGCAGAUGAAGAUUUUACUAACGCUGUUGUUAGGCGCUGCAGUGCAGUGUCCUAAUCGCGAAGCCUUCAUUGGACGCAUUAAAAUGUUGGACGUUGAAACACAACAUGCUAUUGUUGGAUUGAUAAAACAAGUUACAGAAGAUCAAAGUCUCGUUCUUACAAAGGAAUCUGUAAAUUUGCUAACCCCUGUUAAUAUGUACAACCAUAUAUUGCGGCUGACAAAAGAACGUGACAACAUGUAUCUGCGUUGGAUUGCAUCAAUGUGCGCGGAUACUGAUUUAAAUAUGACAGCCUGUACAGAUGGCACAUUAAAUAUGCCCUUAUCACCAUUGUCAUGCACGCUGACCACGCCCUGUUCAUCAUCUUCCAACUCUGAAAAUAACCACAUGGCAGUAGAACUUGCUGAUUUGAAAUCUAAAAUUCGCAAAUUGCGGCAGGAAUUAGAGGAGAAAUCUGAACAUCAAAUUGAAUUGCGAGAGGAGCUUGAUCAUAAAAGUGCUCAAUAUGAAAAAUUGCGAGCUGAGAGUCAAGAAUGGUACGCAGAGGCAAAACGAGCAUAUGCAUACCGUGAUGAAGUUGAUGUCUUAAGAGAGCGAGCUGAACGCGCUGAUCGCUUGGAAAUUGAGGUACAAAAAUUUCGCGAAAAAUUGACAGACGCAGAAUUCUAUAAGACACGUGUUGAAGAACUACGCGAAGAUAACCGAAUGCUUUUAGAAACUAAGGAAAUGCUGGAAGAUCAGCUGCAAAGAGCGCGGAAACGUUCAGAGCACGUAAUGACUUUAGAAUCUGAAAUUAUAAAAUAUAAACAGAAACUGAACGACAUGGCUUUGGAGAGAGACGUUGAUCGUUCCAAGUUAGAAGAAUUGUUGGAGGAAAAUACCCAAUUACAAUUAGCUGCAAAAACUCUAAACACUACUCAAAGACUUGAUAGCGCAUAUUCCGAUAAUGAGGACGAAUGCAAUUCGGGUGAUAAUAGUUUAUCAGAGCAACUAACCAAUGAUGCCCAGACACGAAUUUUAAAAUUGGAAUUGAAGAAUAAGCAAUUGGCUGCUGCUUUGGAGCAACUAAAGGAAAACUCAUUCCAUGAGUCUACGAACAAGAUUCUGGAGUUUGAAAAGGAUAAAAAAAAGCUUUCUUUAAAAAUUGAGCAGAUGCAAGAAAACAUCCAACGUUUAACACAACAGAAUACUGCUUUGGAAGAAGUAUUUAAAAGUGCAUUGGAAGAGAAUAAAAAACUGCAAGAUACAAUGGACGACCGACAAAAGUCAUAUGAACGACAAAGCCAAGAACGCGAAUUGGAACGUAGUAAGUUGUUGGAUGUGGAACAGCAUGUAGAAACUUUAAAUAAAGAGAAACAGCGCUUACAAACACUUAACGAAAGUAUACAACGUCGCGCUGAUGAUUUGGAUCGUUUGCUGGACACUCGUACAAAGGAAAUUCACCAGCUAACGGAACGUUCACAAGGAGUGAGUAGGUUGAAAGAAAAAGUGUAUGACUUGGAGGCGAAGCUUUGUGCAUUUGAAAGAGAAAAUAACAGUCUUUUGAAGGAAGUCGCGAAAUUGAAGGAGAACACCGAAGGAAAGUCAGUUCAAUUAGACGAGUCGUCAGCAAAGCUUGAAGCGCAAACCAAAGAUAUUGAUCGUCUUACAAAAGAACUAACUAAAGUUGAGCAAACUCAACAAAGAGUCAUAGAACUGGAAAAACAAAAUCAAGAAUUAAUGACUCAGCGUGAAAUUGAUUCCGAUACAAUACUAACACUUCGCAAUGAUUUAGUAUCUGGUACAUUAGCGACAAAUAAAGUGCGCCAAAAUUUAGAGAAAUUAGGUUUAACAGAUAGUGGUCAUACUGACGAUAAUGGCAAAUUAAGUGUAGAAACUGUCGUCGAAAAGUUAGUACGCAAUCCCGAAACUUUUAAGACAGUUCGUGAAAUUAUGUUGAAUGUUUCGAAAGAGCUGCACCAAAACGAAAACACAAAAUCUGAUAUAUGCGUGCUGUGUCACCGCAAGGAAAUCUACACGGUAGAAAAAAAUAUUGAACUAUCCAAUAACGAGCCACAGGGACUAAGCUUCGAACACAAAGUUACCUUAACUGCACCAACCGGGCGCGAUCGCAUCGAAAUUUUGCGGCUUAAGGAAGCCAACACUGAGCUAAACGCACUCUAUACAGCCCUUCAAUCAGCAAAUGUUCAAUUGGAAGCAGAAAAGGCGCGACUCGAUGUAGACGUGGUGACGUUGAGUUCUCAAAUAUCCACGCUAAAUACACAGUUAGUCGCAUUACAAGUAGCUAACUCGCAGCUUGCCUCUGAUAAGGAUCAGCUGUUGAAGCAAAGCGAGUCCAUUAAACAAGAAAACAAAAACAUUCAACAUGAUUUAAUGGCACUGCGAACUUUGCACGAUCAGCUUUCAACAGAGUAUGAAUCACUUGCCGCUGACAAAGAGCAACUUAAGCUGCUUCAGCGCGAUUUGCGAAACGAGGCACGCGAAUUACGUGAACAUAUCUCGAAUUUAGAAAAUCGUAUAACGGAUUUAACGAAGGAGAAUGCUAAAAUGAAGAGCUAUGAAAACGAUUUAACAAUAUUGCGAACAGAACAUUCCAAGCUAACAGAUGAUUUUCGAAAUUUGUUCCGUUUCAAGAACGAGUAUAAGAAUAUUCAGGAGCAAUAUAAAAUGAUACGCCCAGAAAAUAAUAAGUUAAAGAAACAAAUUGUCGAGCUGUUACGUGAGCUAGAUACCAAAAACGACCACAUAAAAACCAUGGAAAGUGAUGCCGCCUACUAUGCCCAACAGUGUGAAGUAUUGCUUCAAACGAAUGCACAUCUGGACAUAGAUCGAAAAACUUUAAUGGACAAUGUUUCACAAUUGCUAACGCAAUAUCACGAGCUACUUUCGCAUUCGCUGGAGGAUAAACAACAUUUCCGAGAAGAAGAGAAAAGUUAUACAGAGCGUCUGCAUAAUUUGAGCCGUCAAAAAGAAAAAUUAGAGGAGAAAAUAAUGGAACAUUACAAAAAGCCAGAAACUGUUUUGCCAAAAAAAAAACCUUUCGCGAGUAGUAUUGUGCGACGUGUAAAGAAAGCCGGAUCUGAUUUUAUUAAUAAGGUGCCAACAAGCCGGAAUCGCCGUUCAUGGGUGGAUGACUCACGGCUUACGCAGUCGCAAUUCGUGAUUGGCUCUGAAUCAGGCGGUAAUGAUUCCGAUAAUAGCAUAGAAGAACCAAUGUCCAUUGAAUCUGAUUCUCAUUUGCUGCAACGAAACUUACCUAUACGGCAAAGUUUGCAACGAGACCUAAUGGAUAGCACACUUUCACGCGGCGGAAUACGAAGUAGUCUGCAAUCACAAAAGCGAACGGAUUUGAAUAGUUCUCGAAGAAAUAGCGUCCACGGGUAAGUAAACAAAACUUAUCAAGUUCGUGGAACCGAUUAUGUACUUUUGUGGACAUAUAUGGUUUUGCAUAUAAUUUUUUAUUUGUAUAUUUCCAACAAAUUUCUUUAUUUUUAAAUUUGUGUUUAUAUGUUAAUGGAAACUUGGCAUGAACUUGAUUUACUUGGAUGGGUUGUGGGCUUAGAACGAAAAUGAAAAAAUUGAAGCGAUUUUUCGUCUUGAAGCGCCAGAUGUGACGGGUAGCAGUUUGACACUGGGCACAGCCGGUUCUCGGCGCACAGUUUAUUUGAUCGAUGAGCACCAAAAAAUACCCGAAACAAACAGUAGUUGCAGUGAAGUUGGUGGCAAUGCUGAAAUGUCGAAUUCUCAUUGCGUCCUAAACUCAAGCUCCUGUUCAACAUCUACAACUUUAACAGGUGCCGGUACCGUAAGUGACGCAUAUAUGUCGGCAGAUAUGGGUAUUGGUGGUACUGGAGUAGGCAUUGCCGAACCUCAGACACCUUCAAAUUUGUCAUCGGUUCCAAAUAAUGAUAAUCCGACUACAUUCCUUAUGUACAACCGUAUUAAUACAACGAUUGGUAAUGCUAGUUCGGAGGGCAACAUGCCAGCGAGCACAUCACGUGAUCCAACAAUAACAAGCAAUAAUUCGACACCAGUGACAACAACAAAUGCAACACAGGAUGAUAAAUCGCUACGAAAACGUACCGACGAUAAAAGUAAUAGUAUUUGGUACGAGUAUGGAUGUGUUUAGAUAAUAUCCAUCUGGAAUAUGUAGUUAGUUUUUAUUAUAUUCAAAAACGUAUUGGGUAUACAAAUUUAAAAUACAUGAAAAAGAAAAUUGGACAGGCUAAUGCUUUCGAAUAUACUUAAAGCCUUUAGUAAUUUCAGUAAAUUAGUAUUCAAAAUACUGUACAGAUUACAUACUUGCAAUUACGUGCUAUACACAGCAAUUUCGAAAACUCGUUUGUCUAAGUCAGUACAUUUCCUUUUUGUAUUUCGCAGCUAAUACAUACCACUGCCAUUUUGGUAAACUAUUUUUAAUUUAUUCGAAUUUAAUGGAGGCUCUUCAUUUUUAUCAUGUUAGAUUUUUGUUAAAUACACAUCUACAUCUAUGUGAUUGAACCCAGAUAAAUAGUACUUCCAACAAAUCAUGCUUUCCAUUUCAAAAUAUUUAUACUAUUUUUCUUAUUACUCUGAUUGUGAUUAUUUUCGCAUAAUAAUAUAUAUUGGUCCUACAAUGCGCACAAUUUUAUUUAUCACUUAUAUAUGUAUGUAUGCAUAAUGGAACUCGAAUAGUCAUUGCUGGAAAUAAAGUAAAUCUUUUAUGAA